UACGAAGGGGGCUAGCGUUGUUCGGAAUUACUGGGCGUAAAGCGCGCGCAGGCGGUCUUCCAAGUCAGUGGUGAAAGCCCGGAGCUCAACUCCGGAACUGCCAUUGAAACUGUUAGACUUGAGGAUGAGAGAGGUGAGUGGAAUUCCCAGUGUAGAGGUGAAAUUCGUAGAUAUUGGGAAGAAUCACCGGUGGCGAAGGCGGCUCACUGGCUCAUUACUGACGCUCAGGCGCGAAAAGCGUGGGGAGCAAACAGG
rnacentral:rRNA from 1 species